CGGACGGGUGAGUAACGCGUGGGCAACCUGCCCUUAUCUGGGGGAUAACAGUUGGAAACGGCUGAUAAUACCGCAUAAUAUGGGUUUGAAGGCAUCUUCUUUCCAUCAAAGAUUUAUCGGAUAAGGAUGGGCCCGCGUCUGAUUAGCUUGUUGGUGAGGUAACGGCUCACCAAGGCGACGAUCAGUAGCCGACCUGAGAGGGUGAUCGGCCACAUUGGAGCUGAGACACGGUCCAAACUCCUACGGGAGGCAGCAG
rnacentral:rRNA from 1 species